rnacentral:rRNA from 1 species
UUGGAGGGCAAGUCUGGUGCCAGCAGCCGCGGUAAUUCCAGCUCCAAUAGCGUAUAUUAAAGUUGUUGCAGUUAAAAAGCUCGUAGUUGAAUUUCGGGAUCAAUUUGUUGGUCGUGCCUCGGUACGUACUGGCAUUAUUGGUUUCUACCUUCUGAAGAACCUUGAUGUCAUUAAUUUGGUGUCUUGGGGAAUCGAGGACUGUUACUUUAGAAAAAAUUGAGUGUUUAAAGCAAGCAUACGCUUGAAUACAUUAGCAUGGAAUAAUGAAAUAGGUACGUUUGAUUCUUA